rnacentral:rRNA from 1 species
AUUGAACGCUGGCGGCAUGCCUUACACAUGCAAGUCGAACGGCAGCACGGGUGCUUGCACCUGGUGGCGAGUGGCGAACGGGUGAGUAAUACAUCGGAACGUACCUUAUCGUGGGGGAUAACGCAGCGAAAGCUGUGCUAAUACCGCAUACGCCCUGGGGGGGAAAGCGGGGGAUCGCAAGACCUCGCGCGAUUAGAGCGGCCGAUGCCUGAUUAGCUGGUUGGUGGGGUAAAAGCCCACCAAGGAGACGAUCAGUAGCUGGUCUGAGAGGACGAUCAGCCACACUGGGACUGAGACACGGCCCAGACUCCUACGGGAGGCAGCAGUGGGGAAUUUUGGACAAUGGGGGCAACCCUGAUCCAGCAAUGCCGCGUGAGUGAAGAAGGCCUUCGGGUUGUAAAGCUCUUUUGUCAGGGAAGAAACACCGGCUCUAACACAGUCUGGGAAUGACGGUACCUGAAGAAUAAGCACCGGCUAACUACGUGCCAGCCGCCGCGGUAA